ACACAUGCAGUCGAACGGCAGCAUGAUCUAGCUUGCUAGAUUGAUGGCGAGUGGCGAACGGGUGAGUAAUACAUCGGAACGUGCCCUGUAGUGGGGGAUAACUAGUCGAAAGAUUAGCUAAUACCGCAUACGACCUGAGGGUGAAAGUGGGGGACCGCAAGGCCUCAUGCUAUAGGAGCGGCCGAUGUCUGAUUAGCUAGUUGGUGAGGUAAAGGCUCACCAAGGCGACGAUCAGUAGCUGGUCUGAGAGGACGAUCAGCCACACUGGGACUGAGACACGGCCCAGACUCCUACGGGAGGCAGCAGUGGGGAAUUUUGGACAAUGGGCGAAAGCCUGAUCCAGCAAUGCCGCGUGUGUGAAGAAGGCCUUCGGGUUGUAAAGCACUUUUGUCCGGAAAGAAAUGGCUCUGGUUAAUACCUGGGGUCGAUGACGGUACCGGAAGAAUAAGGACCGGCUAACUACGUGCCAGCAGCCGCGGUAAUACGUAGGGUCCAAGCGUUAAUCGGAAUUACUGGGCGUAAAGCGUGCGCAGGCGGUUGUGCAAGACCGAUGUGAAAUCCCCGAGCUUAACUUGGGAAUUGCAUUGGUGACUGCACGGCUAGAGUGUGUCAGAGGGGGGUAGAAUUCCACGUGUAGCAGUGAAAUGCGUAGAGAUGUGGAGGAAUACCGAUGGCGAAGGCAGCCCCCUGGGAUAACACUGACGCUCAUGCACGAAAGCGUGGGGAGC
rnacentral:rRNA from 1 species